GACGAACGCUGGCGGCGUGCCUAAUACAUGCAAGUAGAACGCUGAAGGAGGAGCUUGCUCUUCUGGAUGAGUUGCGAACGGGUGAGUAACGCGUAGGUAACCUGCCUGGUAGCGGGGGAUAACUAUUGGAAACGAUAGCUAAUACCGCAUAACUGUAGAUGUUGCAUGACAUUUGCUUAAAAGGUGCAAUUGCACCACUACCAGAUGGACCUGCGUUGUAUUAGCUAGUUGGUGGGGUAACGGCUCACCAAGGCGACGAUACAUAGCCGACCUGAGAGGGUGAUCGGCCACACUGGGACUGAGACACGGCCCAGACUCCUACGGGAGGCAGCAGUAGGGAAUCUUCGGCAAUGGACGGAAGUCUGACCGAGCAACGCCGCGUGAGUGAAGAAGGUUUUCGGAUCGUAAAGCUCUGUUGUAAGAGAAGAACGAGUGUGAGAGUGGAAAGUUCACACUGUGACGGUAUCUUACCAGAAAGGGACGGCUAACUACGUG
rnacentral:rRNA from 1 species